rnacentral:rRNA from 1 species
UACGGGGGGGGCAAGCGUUGUUCGGAAUUACUGGGCGUAAAGGGCUCGUAGGCGGCCAACUAAGUCAGACGUGAAAUCCCUCGGCUUAACCGGGGAACUGCGUCUGAUACUGGAUGGCUUGAGUGUGGGAGAGGGAUGCGGAAUUCCAGGUGUAGCGGUGAAAUGCGUAGAUAUCUGGAGGAAGACCGGUGGCGAAGGCGGUCUGCUGGGCAGUUUCUGACACUGAUGCGCGACAGCGUGGGGAGCAAACAGG